rnacentral:lncRNA from 1 species
CGAGUCGACAUAUCCUAGGGGUAUAGAGAUGAAAAGAUUAAUGUAUUGAAUAAAUGAAAAGAACAAGAUGUACUAUACUUGUAAAUAAUGAUGUAGUAGCUUAGAUUGCAUUUGGUUGGAAGUAAAAGAAAAUGUAAUUGAGAUGUAAAAUGCGUAAAUGUGAAUGCUUGUAAUAAAUUAGGAUGUGUUUAUGUUGUUGAUA